GUGGCGACACGUGUAGCUGACGGAUACUAAUCGAUCGAGGACUUAACUAA
rnacentral:rRNA from 1 species